AUAGACCAGGCUGGCCUUGAAG
rnacentral:misc_RNA from 1 species